GAUGAACGCUGGCGGCGUGCCUAAUACAUGCAAGUCGAGCGAACAGACGAGGAGCUUGCUCCUCUGACGUUAGCGGCGGACGGGUGAGUAACACGUGGAUAACCUACCUAUAAGACUGGGAUAACUUCGGGAAACCGGAGCUAAUACCGGAUAAUAUAUUGAACCGCAUGGUUCAAUAGUGAAAGACGGUUUUGCUGUCACUUAUAGAUGGAUCCGCGCCGCAUUAGCUAGUUGGUAAGGUAACGGCUUACCAAGGCAACGAUGCGUAGCCGACCUGAUAGGAGGAGCGGCUGCAUGGGACCUUAGACAACGGUCAGACAACGCGGGGAGCCACCAGGGGGGAAGAGUGGCGAGUGGAGGAAAACAGUAUAGAGCAAGUCUGCGUGUGUGAAGAAGUGCUACGGAUUGUAAAGCACGUUAAGUGGGAAGAAACGGCAGGAGACGAAUACCGGCGUGGCUGGAGGGUACCAAAAGCGUAAGCAACGGCUAACUUCGUG
rnacentral:rRNA from 1 species